CCCUAGAGCUACCGCUGCCACUACAUUCAUCUCUGUUCACCAAUCAUGCCUCUCCAUCAACGUGAAGCCAAAGUGUCUCCGUCACUCUGUCCCCCGAAGCUGGCCGUCACUCUGCCAUUUUCGUUCAAGCUCAAAUGAAGUUACCAUCAUCACGUUCAGUCGUCCGCACCAGUCUUCUCUCUAAUUGUUCAUCAUCGACUGUUCUCUCAAACUAAAAUAUUGCACAAACCGAUCCAGGCAGCUUAAGUAAAGAGCCAUUUUCACAUCACUAGCCGAACUUUGUUUCAUGUUCAAAGCUAUACACGUCUAUUCUUCUUUGUUCAGGUAGAGGUAGAGGUAAAGGUAGAGGUAAAGGAAAACUGGAGAGUGACAAGAAGUGACCGCGACUUUCCAUAGUGCAAGGUGAGCAUGACGAGAUGGAAUAAUGAAAUAUGAAGUCAUUAUAAGCAUGGCGAGAAAGGAAAAGGUUAAUUGACUACACACAAUAAUUUGUACUUUAAUACUUCAAGGCGAUACAAAGCAUGUAUUAAUUAAGAAUUAGGGCGAUCGACGUCUCAGCGCUUUUGUCAUACUUGCUCGCCUGUCGAGAUGCAAACAUACAAAGUUGACCUAUGAUUCGUAUAUGAUCAUUUUAAGUGUUCUAUUAGAACUUACCCUUCAUUAGGGUGAGCAACCUCUCAGUGCUUUUUCCAU